rnacentral:rRNA from 1 species
GAUGAACGCUGGCGGCGUGCUUAACACAUGCAAGUCGAACGGACAGGCCCGGCGUUUGUUUUGUUCUUGAUUGGCGAACGGGGGAGUAACACGUGAGUAUCCUGCCCCUUACUUUCGGAUAACUUUAGGAAACUCGGGCUAAUACCGCAGAUGAUCUUCUGCUGCAUGGGGGUGAUUGGAAAGUUUCGGCGGUUGUGGCUGGUCUCGCGGCUUACCAGCUGGUUUGGGAGGUAGUGGCUUACCAGGGCUUUGACGGGUAGCCGGCCUGAGAGAGUGACCGGCCACCUUGGGACUGAGAUACGGAGCAGAAUCCUACGGGACGCAACAGUGGGGAAUCUGACACAAUGGGCGGACGCCUGAUGCAGCAGCGCCGCGUGCGGGAUGACGGGCUUCGGGUGGUAAACCGCUUUCUCAUGUGCCGUAGAGUGAGUGACGGUAAUGGGUCAAGAAGCCACGGCUAACUACGUG